UGCCAAAGAAUUAUGGGAUAUCGAAUGGUCUUGGAGAAAGCAAGAGUCAUGGAACCUUACUACAGUGCUCUCUUUAACGAGCAUGAACGGUUGACGGUAUGAGGUUAUCAUACAUCGUACAGGCAAAAAUACCUGUAUCUAUAUUUUAGCGAUCAUCUUGAACAAUUUUCCUCCGCAAUUGCUGAUACGAAUUCAGUUCCAUGUGAGGAUACCCUUUAACUAGUGGAUGACCAGAGUGAAUUGUUCCGAUGGGCCUAUUAUAGCUGAUUCUUGAUGUCCAUGGCGGAGACGGCUGUCAUUCAAAAUCCAAAACUGAUAAACUAAUAAAGGUACGUCGUUUUGCACGGAGGCGUGGAACAAAAUUAAUUGCAAGAGGCUAGAAAUAUACAUGAAAAUUUCAACGAUUUCGACCCCUCAUGGACAGAAGUUGUGGGGGCCUUGACAUCUAACAUGAUAGCCAUGAUUUAAGCAUCCAGCCAGCCCUGAAACAAACCCCAAUCAACUGGUAUGUAACGGGUUUAUCAUGUAAAUUUCUAGCGCGUGAAAGCAUUUUUGUUCCACGCAUUGCGUCUAUGCGCUAUUGUCAGCUUCAUGGUAUUCUGAAGCUAUUAAUUCCAUCAGAUCAAAAAGAACAAUAUAUGGGG
rnacentral:sRNA from 2 species